CACACUGGACCAGGAUCCCAGAAACCAUGGCAGAGAUGGGCAGGAGGUGAGCCUUGGUGGAAUAAAGAUGCAAUUUUUAUCAACAAACGUGUGGAGGAAGAGAAGAGUGAGCUGAAGUGAAAGAAGUGAAAGGGUCAUCCAAGUUGUGGCUUUCUUGCUCGGCUUCUCUGAGAAACGUGAAAGAAAUGCCCAGCAGAAGGUUUCUGCAUCAGUUGUUGCCGCCUCAGCAGACACCGUCGAUGUAAAGAUUGAAUUCCCGGAGUAUACAGUCUACUACCAGGGUUUUCCAGUUCCACUGCCACCUGCCCUGUUUUGAGGAGUUUCAACACCACAUACACAUAAGUAAACCAGUUUGACGAAGCUUAAUGGAAGAAAGACAACAAAGCCCAGAUGGGAGCCAGAUGCCUCUUUUCACAGUGAUAACACUGCAACCAAAAUUUCACCACCAUGAUGAAAGUGAGGCUCAUAAAAGAUGCAUCAGUAAUCCAUCAGAUGUCAUUAGUUUGGCAUAAACCUGUAAAGGUCCUGAUGCAUACAUUUUGAAAGAAUGUUAAUAUUUGAACACCCUCUUUCGAAGAAACAUUGUGUAAAUUCAUGCAGUCCUAAAACAUUGCAUCUUCAUAAUACUGAAUUUACCAAAAACUGUUUCAGGGUUUUUUUCUGAUUCUGUCUGUGUAAAUCUUUGUUCCCCCAAACAUUGUGUUAAAUCUGUAUAUCCCAUGAUUAAAAUGAUGAUCAGGCA